GGCCUUUAGCUCUACCAGUAUUAAAGGUCCAACCUGCCCAGUGAAAACUUUUUAAACGGCCGCGGUAUCCUAACCGUGCAAAGGUAGCGCAAUCACUUGCCCCUUAAUUUAGGGCUAGUAUGAAUGGUUUAAUGAGGGCAUAACUGUCUCCUGAGGCCAAUUAAUGAAAUUGAUAACUCAGUACAAACGCUGAAAUAAACACAUAAGACGAGAAGACCCUGUGGAACUUUAAAUAACACUAGAGGGCGAUAAACCUACCCCACCUAGUACAAAUUUUUAGUUGGGGCAACUAUGGAGUAAAACAAAACCUCCACGAAAUACGACUAACAAUCGUAUACAAGGCACACACGCCAACACCAUAAGAGUUUGAUCCAGUAAAACUGACCUUCGAACCCAGCUACCCCAGGGAUAACAGCGCCAUCCCCUUCAAGAGUCCAUAUCGCCAAGGGGGUUUACGACCUCGAUGUUGGAUCAGGACACCCAAGCGGUGCAGCCGCUGCUAAAGGCUCGUUUGUUCAACGAAUAAUGUCCU
rnacentral:rRNA from 1 species